rnacentral:sRNA from 1 species
GCCAGGUGCAGUGGUGCAUGCCUGUAAUUCCAGCAACUCGGGAGGCUGAGGCAGGAGGAUCUUGAGUUCAAAGCCAGCCUUAGCAACUUAGGCCCUAAGCAACUUAGUGAGACCCUGUCUCUA